rnacentral:rRNA from 1 species
AGCGUAGACGGCACGGCAAGCCAGAUGUGAAAGCCCGGGGCUCAACCCUGGGACUGCAUUUGGAACUGCUGAGCUAGAGUGUCGGAGAGGCAAGUGGAAUUCCUAGUGUAGCGGUGAAAUGCGUAGAUAUUAGGAGGAACACCAGUGGCGAAGGCGGCUUGCUGGACGAUGACUGACGUUGAGGCUCGAAAGCGUGGGAGCAAACA